AUGGAGCCCUUUUUCUUGGAUUUCCCAACCUCACCGAUUGAAAAUACACGGGGCUUUACUAUGUCUGAAUCAGUACUUCAGCGACUAGAAGAACUAAAAGAGUCGUUGCAUUACGAUAACGGCGUCGAGCGGCGGACGGGUGAGUAAUGCCUAGGAAAUUGCCCUGAUGUGGGGGAUAACCAUUGGAAACGAUGGCUAAUACCGCAUGAUGCCUACGGGCCAAAGAGGGGGACCUUCGGGCCUCUCGCGUCAGGAUAUGCCUAGGUGGGAUUAGCUAGUUGGUGAGGUAAGGGCUCACCAAGGCGACGAUCCCUAGCUGGUCUGAGAGGAUGAUCAGCCACACUGGAACUGAGACACGGUCCAGACUCCUACGGGAGGCAGCAGUGGGGAAUAUUGCACAAUGGGCGCAAGCCUGAUGCAGCCAUGCCGCGUGUGUGAAGAAGGCCUUCGGGUUGUAAAGCACUUUCAGUCGUGAGGAAGGUGGUGUAGUUAAUAGCUGCAUUAUUUGACGUUAGCGACAGAAGAAGCACCGGCUAACUCCGUGCCAGCAGCCGCGGUAAUACGGAGGGUGCGAGCGUUAAUCGGAAUUACUGGGCGUAAAGCGCAUGCAGGUGGUUUGUUAAGUCAGAUGUGAAAGCCCGGGGCUCAACCUCGGAAUAGCAUUUGAAACUGGCAGACUAGAGUACUGUAGAGGGGGGUAGAAUUUCAGGUGUAGCGGUGAAAUGCGUAGAGAUCUGAAGGAAUACCGGUGGCGAAGGCGGCCCCCUGGACAGAUACUGACACUCAGAUGCGAAAGCGUGGGGAGCAAACAGGAUUAGAUACCCUGGUAGUCCACGCCGUAAACGAUGUCUACUUGGAGGUUGUGGCCUUGAGCCGUGGCUUUCGGAGCUAACGCGUUAAGUAGACCGCCUGGGGAGUACGGUCGCAAGAUUAAAACUCAAAUGAAUUGACGGGGGCCCGCACAAGCGGUGGAGCAUGUGGUUUAAUUCGAUGCAACGCGAAGAACCUUACCUACUCUUGACAUCCAGAGAACUUUCCAGAGAUGGAUUGGUGCCUUCGGGAACUCUGAGACAGGUGCUGCAUGGCUGUCGUCAGCUCGUGUUGUGAAAUGUUGGGUUAAGUCCCGCAACGAGCGCAACCCUUAUCCUUGUUUGCCAGCGAGUAAUGUCGGGAACUCCAGGGAGACUGCCGGUGAUAAACCGGAGGAAGGUGGGGACGACGUCAAGUCAUCAUGGCCCUUACGAGUAGGGCUACACACGUGCUACAAUGGCGCAUACAGAGGGCGGCCAACUUGCGAAAGUGAGCGAAUCCCAAAAAGUGCGUCGUAGUCCGGAUUGGAGUCUGCAACUCGACUCCAUGAAGUCGGAAUCGCUAGUAAUCGUGGAUCAGAAUGCCACGGUGAAUACGUUCCCGGGCCUUGUACACACCGCCCGUCACACCAUGGGAGUGGGCUGCAAAAGAAGUAGGUAGUUUAACCUUCGGGGGGACGCUUACCACUUUGUGGUUCAUGACUGGGGUGAAGUCGUAACAAGGUAGCGCUAGGGGAACCUGGCGCUGGAUCACCUCCUUA
rnacentral:rRNA from 1 species